rnacentral:rRNA from 1 species
GCAAGUCGAACGGCAGCACGGGGGCAACCCUGGUGGCGAGUGGCGAACGGGUGAGUAAUACAUCGGAACGUGUCCUGUAGUGGGGGAUAGCCCGGCGAAAGCCGGAUUAAUACCGCAUACGCUCUACGGAGGAAAGGGGGGGAUCUUAGGACCUCCCGCUACAGGGGCGGCCGAUGGCAGAUUAGCUAGUUGGUGGGGUAAAGGCCUACCAAGGCGACGAUCUGUAGCUGGUCUGAGAGGACGACCAGCCACACUGGGACUGAGACACGGCCCAGACUCCUACGGGAGGCAGCAGUGGGGAUNUUUGGACAAUGGGGGCAACCCUGAUCCAGCAAUGCCGCGUGUGUGAAGAAGGCCUUCGGGUUGUAAAGCACUUUUGUCCCGGAAGAAACGCCGUGGUUAUUACCGUGGCGGAUGACGGUACGGAAGAAUAGCCACGGCUAACUACGUG